rnacentral:rRNA from 1 species
GACGAACGCUGGCGGCGUGCUUAACACAUGCAAGUCGAACGGAAAGGCCUCUUUCGGGGGGUACUCGAGUGGCGAACGGGUGAGUAACACGUGAGUAACCUGCCCUUGACUUUGGGAUAACUUCAGGAAACUGGGGCUAAUACCGGAUAGGAGCUCCUGCUGCAUGGUGGGGGUUGGAAAGUUUCGGCGGUUGGGGAUGGACUCGCGGCUUAUCAGCUUGUUGGUGGGGGAGUGGCUUACCAAGGCUUUGACGGGUAGCCGGCCUGAGAGGGUGACCGGCCACAUUGGGACUGAGAUACGGCCCAGACUCCUACGGGAGGCAGCAGUGGGGAAUAUUGCACAAUGGGUGGAAGCCUGAUGCAGCAACGCCGUGUGCGGGAUGACGGCCUUCGGGUUGUAAACCGCUUUCGCUCAUGACGAAGCUUUGUGUGACGGUAGUGGGUAAAGAAGCACCGGCUAACUACGUG